UUAACCUAGAUUUUAUAUUAUUUUACAAACAUUUGAUGUAAUUAACACUAUUGCAAAUAAUAAGGUGAAGAUGAAUCGAUGAAACCAGCAAUGUAGUUGUUUCUCAAAUCAAGACUCUUCAAUUCUUCGAAGGGAAGAAAUAAAGAAACGUUGAGAUACCAAUUCUGAUGGAUAUCCUUGUGGUCUCUAUCGUAACUAUUCUCAAGGAAGAGUCGGGUGACUCGUCCAGUG
rnacentral:lncRNA from 1 species